ACAAGCACAUAGAUAUGUGCUCUUCAAUUGUUCUUAUGUUGAUCCAUACCUUAGAGCUCAUGCUGAAGAGAUCAUCAAAAAAGGUACUAGACAUAGAGCCAGACAUAGAGAUGUUGAGAAAAUCCAAAAUGAGAAGUUCCAUCUUUGGUUUAGAAGUUAUAUAAUGCAGUUAGAGAGUGAGAAUGGCAUUCAUGGUGUUAAAGAUGACAUUAGAUGGCUAGCUCGUGGCCCGGUUGAAGCUGCAAAAAGGUACCGUGCUUUCAACAGUCGAGGUUUCCGUUUUAGGCCUAAACGGUUGGAUCGGGUUACACAAAAUAGUGGUGUUGUGCUAACUGCAAAAACAUCAAGUUAUGCUAGUGCAAGUGAUGGCAAGCCAGUUUUAGGUGAUGUGACUUACUAUGGGAGGAUAAUUGAUAUUAUUGAGCUAAACUACUCUGGAAAAUUUUCUGUGGUACUUUUCAAAUGUGAAUGGGUUGAUGUUAUUUCCAAAAGAGGAAUAAUGAAGGACAAGUAUGGAUACACACUUGUGAAUUUCUCACACCUGAUACAUACAGGAGAAAAUAUUGUUCAUGAACCGUAUAUUUUUCCUAACCAAGCUGACCAGGUGUUUUAUGCUGAAGAUGAAGAACACCCUGGGUGGUAUGUAGUCAAUAAGAUGAAACCAAGAGAUAUAUAUGACACAGGUUGUGAUGAAUGGCAAGAUGAUGUAGAAAAUGAGCCAUUCCAUGUCACACACCUUGGAAAUAUGUUCAAUAAUUCAAAUGUAAGAUAUCAAUGGGCUAGGCCAGAUAUUGAGGGAACCACAGU